UACGUAGGAUCCAAGCGUUGUCCGGAUUUACUGGGUGUAAAGGGUGCGCAGGCGGCCUGGUUAGUCUGGGGUGAAAUCUCCUCGCUCAACGGUGAAACUGCCUUAGAUACUGCCAGUCUUGAAUUAGGGAGAGGUUCGUGGAAUUCCGAGUGUAGCAGUGAAAUGUGUAGAUAUUCGGAAGAACACCAGUGGCGAAGGCAGCGAACUGGCCCUUAAUUGACGCUCAGGCACGAAAGCAUGGGGAUCAAACAGG
rnacentral:rRNA from 1 species